GAUGAACGCUGGCGGCGUGCCUAAUACAUGCAAGUCGAGCGAACAGACGAGGAGCUUGCUCCUCUGACGUUAGCGGCGGACGGGUGAGUAACACGUGGAUAACCUACCUAUAAGACUGGGAUAACUUCGGGAAACCGGAGCUAAUACCGGAUAAUAUAUUGAACCGCAUGGUUCAAUAGUGAAAGACGGUUUUGCUGUCACUUAUAGAUGGAUCCGCGCCGCAUUAGCUAGUUGGUAAGGUAACGGCUUACCAAGGCGACGAUGCGUAGCCGACCUGAGAGGGUGAUCGGCCACACUGGAACUGAGACACGGUCCAGACUCCUACGGGAGGCAGCAGUAGGGAAUCUUCCGCAAUAGGCGAAAGCCUGACGGAGCAACGCCGCGUGAGUGAUGAAGGUCUUCGGAUCGUAAAACUCUGUUAUUAGGGAAGAACAAAUGUGUAAGUAACUAUGCACGUCUUGACGGUACCUAAUCAGAAAGCCACGGCUAACUGCGUG
rnacentral:rRNA from 1 species